AGUCAAGAACGGGUGUGAGAGUGGAAAGUUCACACUGUGACGGUASCUUACCAGAAAGGGACGGCUAACUACGUGCCAGCAGCCGCGGUAAUACGUAGGUCCCGAGCGUUGUCCGGAUUUAUUGGGCGUAAAGCGAGCGCAGGCGGUUUGAUAAGUCUGAAGUUAAAGGCUGUGGCUCAACCAUAGUUCGCUUUGGAAACUGUCAAACUUGAGUGCAGAAGGGGAGAGUGGAAUUCCAUGUGUAGCGGUGAAAUGCGUAGAUAUAUGGAGGAACACCGGUGGCGAAAGCGGCUCUCUGGUCUGUAACUGACGCUGAGGCUCGAAAGCGUGGGGAGCGAACAGGAUUAGAUACCCUGGUAGUCCACGCCGUAAACGAUGAGUGCUAGGUGUUGGAUCCUUUCCGGGAUUCAGUGCCGCAGCUAACGCAUUAAGCACUCCGCCUGGGGAGUACGACCGCAAGGUUGAAACUCAAAGGAAUUGACGGGGGCCCGCACAAGCGGUGGAGCAUGUGGUUUAAUUCGAAGCAACGCGAAGAACCUUACCAGGUCUUGACAUCCCGAUGCUAUUUCUAGAGAUAGAA
rnacentral:rRNA from 1 species